UCAGCUCAAUGAUUAUCACCACAACAAUUACCGGCACCAUGGUUGCUGGGGUGGGCUGAUACGCGUAAGUAUUUUAAAAAAGCCCGCCCUGAUUAAUCAGAGCGGGUUUUUUUU
rnacentral:sRNA from 1 species